AUUGAACGCUGGCGGCAGGCCUAACACAUGCAAGUCGAGCGGAUGAAGGGAGCUUGCUCCUGGAUUCAGCGGCGGACGGGUGAGUAAUGCCUAGGAAUCUGCCUGGUAGUGGGGGAUAACGUCCGGAAACGGGCGCUAAUACCGCAUACGUCCUGAGGGAGAAAGUGGGGGAUCUUCGGACCUCACGCUAUCAGAUGAGCCUAGGUCGGAUUAGCUAGUUGGUGGGGUAAAGGCCUACCAAGGCGACGAUCCGUAACUGGUCUGAGAGGAUGAUCAGUCACACUGGAAUUGGGACACGGUCCAGACUCCUACGGGAGGCAGCAGUGGGGAAUAUUGGACAAUGGGCGAAAGCCUGAUCCAGCCAUGCCGCGUGUGUGAAGAAGGUCUUCGGAUUGUAAAGCACUUUAAGUUGGGAGGAAGGGCAGUAAGUUAAUACCUUGCUGUUUUGACGUUACCAACAGAAUAAGCACCGGCUAACUUCGUG
rnacentral:rRNA from 1 species